GAUUCAAUAAUAAAUUAUCAUAUGUGACUAACUCAUCUUCAAUAUAAAUUUCAUUUAUUAAAUGCAUAUAUUGAUACUUGAAGGCUUCGCCAGUUUUUGAAUAACCAGGAGUUAAAAUAUCAGUAUAAAAUAAUGAACUAGAAUUAUUGAGAUUGAACGUAUUGUGUUGAUAAAAUUUAGCAUUUUCAUAUGCGAUGAUUGGAUCAGCGACAUAUUCUAAA
rnacentral:sRNA from 1 species